rnacentral:rRNA from 1 species
UACGAAGGGGGCUAGCGUUGCUCGGAAUCACUGGGCGUAAAGCGCACGUAGGCGGGUCUUUAAGUCAGGGGUGAAAUCCUGGAGCUCAACUCCAGAACUGCCUUUGAUACUGGGGAUCUCGAGUCCGGAAGAGGUGAGUGGAACUCCGAGUGUAGAGGUGAAAUUCGUAGAUAUUCGCAAGAACACCAGUGGCGAAGGCGGCUCACUGGCCCGAUACUGACGCUGAGGCAUGAAAGCGUGGGGAGCAAACAGG